UGGGGAAUUUUGCACAAUGGGGGAAACCCUGAUGCAGCGACGCCGCGUGAUUUAGAAGGCCUUCGGGUUGUAAAAAUCUUUUCUAUGGGAAGAAAAUGACAGUACCAUAGGAAUAAGGACUGGCUAAUUACGUGCCAGCAGCCGCGGUAAUACGUAAGGUCCGAGCGUUGUCCGGAAUCAUUGGGCGUAAAGGGUACGUAGGCGGAUAAGCAAGUUAGAAGUGAAAUCCUAUAGCUCAACUAUAGUAAGCUUUUAAAACUGCUCAUCUUGAGGUAUGGAAGGGAAAGUGGAAUUCCUAGUGUAGCGGUGAAAUGCGCAGAUAUUAGGAGGAAUACCGGUGGCGAAGGCGACUUUCUGGCCAUAUACUGACGCUGAGGUACGAAAGCGUGGGUAGCAAACAGG
rnacentral:rRNA from 1 species